GCCUGCAUAGCUCAGUUGGUAGAGCGUUUGUUUCGUAAACAAAAGGUCCUGGGUUCAAUCCCCAGUGCAGGCU
rnacentral:tRNA from 1 species